rnacentral:lncRNA from 1 species
CGUUUCCACCAUAGUGCUGUUGAAAUCAGCUGCAGGGGGGCAGACACACACACACUUUGUCAUCUUAAGAUGGCGGACUACCAUUCUACCAGCCCAGACACCUCUCCAGAUCAGACUCUGUCCUGUGACUGUGGACCUGAUGGUUUGCACCCCACUCCUGAGGCUCCUUCUUUGAGUGAUGUGCACACAGAGCCUUGACCUACACAGAAGCUUCUGUAGCCUGGGUAGGAAGGAGCCCUCAACUCCGAGGGCCUGUGGAGCUUGAAGACCUUGAGUCUGGCAGUUGAGGCCAGUGGGGUGUCGUGGUUAGCACCGCCUGUGCACGUGAUCCGAGCACUACCUAAGGGCCCCCCUGAUGGAGGUGGGGGCUGAGAUGAGAAAGGGAAGAUCUGCAUCCUCCGUGGGGCUGUGUAGUUCUGGGGUGGCUUCAGCUUCCUUAUACAGACGCCUCUGCCAUGAACCCUGUGGAUCUUGCCUUCCUUUCUCACCAGCCCUCUUAUAAGCAGACUUCCACCACACACCGCAGGGUGGGGGGGGCUGCGAUUUGGGGACCAACCAAACCCACAAGAAGUUCCAUUGCAGCCAAGGUGACAGAGUUGGGGUGUGAGGGUGGGCAAAGAGUAGAAAUGGCUCUCCAAGUGUUCCUCGCCAUGAGCUGAAGUGCGGCACAAAGCUGAGUAGAAGUGGCCUUCCAUGGCCGCCCACUAUUACCAGAGAAGAGGGGAAAGGCCCCUGAUCUUCAUAAGCCUCGAGUCAUUACCCUUGCGACAAGCCAGCUAGUCUUCUCUCUGCCGCCCGUUCUCGGCCCUUCCUGACUUCAUUUCUGAAUCCACCCACCACAGAUUUUUCCACCUUCUAUGUGCUUACCACGCAGUUUAAUCCAUCCAUAUUCACACACACACAUAUACACACUAUAUACACACACAGACACACACACACAUAUACAUACUACAAACACACACCACACCACACACCCACCACACAGCCACACACAUACACACACACACACACACAC